rnacentral:rRNA from 1 species
CAGCAGCCGCGGGAAAACGUAGGGCGCAAGCGUUGUCCGGAAUUAUUGGGCGUAAAGAGCUCGUAGGCGGUCUGUCGCGUCUGGUGUGAAAUCCCGAGGCUCAACCUCGGGCUUGCAUCGGGUACGGGCAGACUAGAGUGCGGUAGGGGAGACUGGAAUUCCUGGUGUAGCGGUGGAAUGCGCAGAUAUCAGGAGGAACACCGAUGGCGAAGGCAGGUCUCUGGGCCGCAACUGACGCUGAGGAGCGAAAGCAUGGGGAGCGAACAGGAUUAGAUACCCGGGUAGUCCCUGUCUCUUAUAC